rnacentral:rRNA from 1 species
AUGGCGUCGUUUACAGAUCUUUUAGUACAACUUCUCUUGCUCACCACUCUCUUCCCUACACUCGCACUAUCCUAUAUCAAUUCAGCUACCACAAGCAUACACCAAAAUGCCGCAAAAUCCUCUGCUUAUCGUGCUUACAUCAUGCUCGUCCAGCCACCACCCUUGAAUCCAGGCGAAGACCCGCAUCAUCAGUGGCACAAGUCUUUCUUGUCGAGCUCGUUGGCAGGUGAUUCUAUGAAGUCACGUCUUCUCUACUCCUACACCGAGGUGUUCAACGGCUUCGCCGUGAGGCUCACCGUUGCCGAACUCGACAUGGUGUCCAAGAAGCCAGGGUUUGUGCGUGCAUUCCCAGACCAAACGCUGCAGCUAAUGACCACCCACACGCCAGAGUUCCUUGGGCUAAGGAAUGGCACCGGGUUCUGGAGCCAGGCUGACUACGGGAAGGGAGUUAUCAUCGGGCUGCUUGACAGCGGCAUCUAUGCGGCGCACGCUUCCUUCAACGACCAUGGUAUUCCACCACCCCCCGCGAAGGGCUCGUGCGACGCGGCCCAGUGCAACAACAAGCUUAUCGGUGCCAAGUCACUGAUUGCGGGUGAUGACUCUGACGACGAAGAGGGGCAUGGAACACACACCUCAUCCACAGCCGCCGGAAACUUCGUAACCGGUGCAUCAUACAAUGGUGUGGGCACAGGCACCGCGGCCGGAAUUGCCCCGAGCGCCCACAUUGCCAUGUAUAAGGUAUGGGUUGCUCGUGAUUGCAAGUCAUCUGCCAUACUGGCCGGCCUAGAAGAGGCCAUCAAGGAUGGGGUGGACGUACUCUCGCUCUCCCUUGGCAGCAGCACAGGCGCCAGCUUUGAUCAAGACCCCAUAUCUAUUGGCGCUUUCAGUGCCAUGUCCAAGGGCAUCCUUGUGGUGUGCGCCGCUGGCAACAGCGGUCCGACUCAGCGCUCCGUCGCCAAUGAAGCACCCUGGUUGCUCACGGCCGCCGCCGGCUCCGUGGACCGGAGCUUCGGAGCCAACAUCCAUCUCGGCAAUGGCAAGAGCAUUGAAGGAGAAGCACUUACCCAGAUAGCGAAUCCAAGCUUAAAGUUGCACUCUCUCCUCUACUCCGAGAAAUGGCGGUACUGCAAUUACGACUAUGAUAGUAGUAUCAUUGGUAAGAUCCUCGUUUGCAAGGACAAUAAGUCGAAGGCUCAACAGUCCAAAAUCCGCAACAUAGUGGGCACUGGCGCGGCAGGCGUGGUGUUGUUCAACGACGAAAUCAGUGGCUACACCACCAUUGCUACGGACUACAACUGCAGCGUUGUACAGGUGACUGCAGCCGGUGGCGAGGCCCUCAUAGCUUACAUCGCGUCGACGGACAAUAGCUCUGCGGCGUCUCUUGCGUACAACGGCACACAGUUUAGCGUACGCCCUGCCCCCGUCGUGGCCUCGUUCUCUUCCCGGGGUCCAAGCAUCCUAAAGCCAGACAUAGUGGCACCGGGCCUCAACAUCCUUGUUGCUUGGCCGUCAAAAACGGGCCAUGAACAGGGCCCUUUCAACAUCAUAUCAGGCACAUCCAUGGUGACGCCACAUGUCAGUGGUGUCGCGGCGCUCAUCAAAGGCAUCCAUCCUAACUGGUCGCCGGCCACCAUCAAGUCUGCCAUCCUGACAACGUCAAACAUCAUUAACGGUACCGGCGACUCAAUCUUGGACGAGCAGCAUAGAAAGGCGGGCGUGUAUGACACAGGCGCCGGCCAUGUAAACCCGGCGAGAGCCGCCGACCCUGGCUUGGUGUAUGACCUCAGCGUCAUUGACUACGCUGGCUACAUCUGCUGGCUCCUUGGUGACAGCGGCCUAGCAACCAUAGUGCGCAACUCGAGUUUGACCUGUGCGAAGCUGCCCAAGGUCCAGGACGUGCAGCUGAAUUACCCGACGAUAACCGUGCCACUAACAUCGACGCAGUUCACCGUGAACCGGACUGUGACAUACGUCGGGCCAGCAAAUUCAACAUUCAAGACGAAAGUGGACGUGCCGAGGUCUCUGACGGUGCGUGCCGUCCCGGAGACGAUGUCGUUCUCCAAAACCGGAGAGAAGAAGACCUUCAGUGUGUCCGUGAGCGGCCACGACCUGGGCAAAGAGCUCUACGUGGAGAGAACCUUGAGCUGGGUAUCAGAGAAGCAUGUCGUGCGUAGCCCCGUCGUCGUUGUCGCCAUAGGAGGUGAUACUGCUCCGGCACCAUCACCAUGA